CAAAGAUAUGUCAAACUGUACUCGAUUAUCGGGACCCAUCAAAUGAUUAAUAUACUCAAAUAUCUGAUCCAUUGCUAGCUGCGGUAUAUUAAAAGUUGU